rnacentral:rRNA from 1 species
UACGUAGGAGGCGAGCGUUGUCCGGAAUCACUGGGCGUAAAGCGCGUGUAGGCGGGGGGGCAAGUCUGCUGUGAAAGCGCCUGGCUUAACCGGGCGAGGUCGGCGGAAACUGCUUCCCUGGAGGGCGGUAGAGGGGGGUGGAAUUCCCGGUGUAGUGGUGAAAUGCGUAGAGAUCGGGAGGAACACCUGUGGCGAAGGCGGCCCCCUGGGCCGUACCUGACGCUGAGACGCGAAGGCGUGGGGAGCGAGCGGG